rnacentral:lncRNA from 1 species
CUUAGAAAUGCGUUUAUGCAUGCCUUCGGAGAAUAUAACUUGUCUAACGGGAUGAAAAUAUGUUUUCACAUUUUUUAGAAAAAUUUUCAUUCAUUUUCAACCUAACCUCAGGAAGUGAGUAGGUACUAGGAAGCUAUUUAUACUCACCUACUACUUGUAUUUUGGUUAACUAUUUCCUGUUCUUUUUAAAACAAAUUUUCUUGUCUAUUAUGCCCGAAUAUAUAUCUUCAAUGUGUCCACACACUACAUGUUUUCAAUCAGUGAAACGUAUCU